rnacentral:rRNA from 1 species
CGGGUUGCUUGAGAGUGCAGCUCUAAGUUGGUGGUAAACUCCAUCUAAGGCUAAAUAUGACCACGAGACCGAUAGCGAACAAGUACCGUGAGGGAAAGUUGAAAAGAACUUUGAAGAGAGAGUUAAAGAGUACGUGAAACCGUUCAGGGGUAAACCUGAGAAACCCAAAAGAUCGAAUGGGGAGAUUCAUCGUCAGCGGCGCUGGCUUCCGUGUGGUUUGCGAUGUUCGGGGCCUUUGGCUUCGCGGCACGCUACUACUGCGGCAUGUCCGGUGUUCGUCGGCGUGCACUUCUCCCCUAGUAGGACGUCGCGACCCGUUGGGUGUCGGCCUACGGCCGGAUUGGUCGACUGUCUCGUCGCGUUCACGCGCGCACGCGGCAGACCAUCCGUCUCCCGGCCGACUGCCCGGCGGUAUAGAACGCUUUUUGUUUGGUAUUGGGCCGCAUUUAUGUGCGUUCCGGCUCGUCGGCAGCCUCGCCUCGCCCGGAUUUACGGACCUAGCGCCGUUACCGGGUGCUUGGCGCGGGUGUUUCGCCGACGAUGUCCUCGAACCGGCUCGAAACAUUCGGAAACGAAUGAAUAAAAUAUAUACCAGUCGGCGACGCUACUGCUUUGGGUACUUUCAGGACCCGUCUUGAAACACGGACCAAGGAGUCUAACAUGUGCGCGAGUCAUUGGGACUUUGUUUAAGCCUAAAGGCGCAAUGAAAGUGAAGGUCGGCCUUAGCGUCGACCGAGGGAGGAUGGUUCGCGUCAAGUUCGCGAAUCCGCACUCCCGGGGCGUCUCGUGCUCAUCGCGAGCAGAGGCGCACCCAGAGCGUACACGUUGGGACCCGAAAGAUGGUGAACUAUGCCUGGUCAGGACGAAGUCAGGGGAAACCCUGAUGGAGGUCCGUAGCGAUUCUGACGUGCAAAUCGAUCGUCGGAACUGGGUAUAGGGGCGAAAGACUAAUCGAACCAUCUAGUAGCUGGUUCCCUCCGAAG